UACAGAGGGGGCAAGCGUUGUUCGGAAUUACUGGGCGUAAAGGGCGCGUAGGCGGCCUUCUAAGUCGAACGUGAAAUCCGCGGGCUCAACCCGGGAACUGCGUCCGAUACUGGAAGGCUUGAAUUCGGGAGAGGGAUGCGGAAUUCCAGGUGUAGCGGUGAAAUGCGUAGAUAUCUGGAGGAACACCGGUGGCGAAGGCGGCAUCCUGGACCGGCAUUGACGCUGAGGCGCGAAAGCCAGGGGAGCAAACGGG
rnacentral:rRNA from 1 species